rnacentral:rRNA from 1 species
CAGUAGCCACGGUAAUACGAAGGGGGCUAGCGUUGUUCGGAUUUACUGGGCGUAAAGGGCGCGUAGGCGGGCGAAUAAGUCAGGGGUGAAAUCCCAAGGCUCAACCUUGGAACUGCCUUUGAUACUGUUUGUCUUGAGUCCGGGAGAGGUGAGUGGAACUGCGAGUGUAGAGGUGAAAUUCGUAGAUAUUCGCAAGAACACCAGUGGCGAAGGCGGCUCACUGGCCCGGAACUGACGCUGAGGCGCGAAAGCGUGGGGAGCAAACAGGAUUAGAUACCCCGGUAGUCCCUGUCUCUUAUAC